UACGUAGGGUGCAAGCGUUGUCCGGAAUUAUUGGGCGUAAAGGGCUCGUAGGCGGUCUGUUGCGUCGGGCGUGAAAACUCAGGGCUUAACCCUGAGCCUGCUUCCGAUACGGGCAGACUAGAGGUAUGCAGGGGAGAACGGAAUUCCUGGUGUAGCGGUGAAAUGCGCAGAUAUCAGGAGGAACACCGGUGGCGAAGGCGGUUCUCUGGGCAUUACCUGACGCUGAGGAGCGAAAGUGUGGGGAGCGAACAGG
rnacentral:rRNA from 1 species